rnacentral:misc_RNA from 1 species
GAAAUGCGAUAAGUAAUGUGAAUUGCAGAAUUCAGUGAAUCAUCGAAUCUUUGAACGCACAUUGCGCCCGCCAGUAUUCUGGCGGGCAUGCCUGUUCGAGCGUCAUUUCAACCAUCAAGCCCCCGGCUUGUGUUGGGGACCUGCGGCUGCCCGCAGGCCCUGAAAAACAGUGGCGGGCUCGCUGUCACACCGAGCGUAGUAGCAUACAUUCUCGCUCAGGGCGUGCUGCGGGUUCCGGCCGUUAAACGACCUUCAUAACCCAAGGUUGACUCGGAUCAGGUAGGAAGACCCGCUGAACUUAAGC